AUGGCCCUUUUUGAGGAGUUCUAUGUAGGAUCCAUCGACCUCACCAGGCUUAACUUUGGGAUAAUCACCCUCAUCCCCAAAGCCACGGGCACUUCGGAUAUCCGCCAAUUCCGCCCGAUCACGGUGAUCAAUGUCAUCUUCCGGAUUCUUGCGAAGGGGUACGCCAAUAGGGUGGCCCCAAUAACUGACCGGAUCACUCACCCGGAUCAGUCGGCAUUUAUCCAGGGCCGCUAUAUCCUUGACGGAGUCCUAGUAUUUCACGAAGCACUCCAUGAGGUGCACUCCAAACACCUCAAGGCGGUAUUCCUGAAACUAGACUUUCACAAGGCAUAUGACACGGUCAGCUGGACCUUCCUUCGGGAAUGCCUGCUCCGGAAGGGCUUCGACGACCGUUGGGUGACCCGCGUG
rnacentral:rRNA from 1 species